rnacentral:lncRNA from 1 species
UUCAAUUUUGUUUUGAUUAUGUGUACGCAUCCAUAAAAUGAUGUGGACCUCAAGUUCAGUUUUGCCUUCUUUUCGUAAAACUAUUUAUAUAACACACGGCAUAAGCAUUGCUACAUAAACUCCAAGCACAAUUAAAUAGGAGUAAAAUCUAGCAAAUGAUUGGUUAAACGGAGUAAACUGGAGGAUUUUCUCUUAAAUAGGGUAAGUGUUGUAAGGAUAUGAAACUUAGGGGUAAAGAAAAUGAAAUUACAUAAAACAUUUAUUAGUCACCUCCCCCAUCCACCAUUGGUUAACAACUUGGUCCUUUAACCACGGCUACUACAAAGAUGAUGUCCUAGAGGACGUGGAACCAAACAUGUGCAAUUAACUUCAAAAUCAUCUUUGUACAAAAACACACAUCUUGGAGAUUGCAAUCACAUCUGAAAUCUUAAGUAUUUUUAAGCAUGAAGUGGGCAAAAUAUAUUCAUUGUACUAUAAAACAAAUACAAGUUACUUGUACACUCGCAUCAUGUAAGCCUCUUCUCAUAAAAGCAGGCAACAAAAGGAGGUCCUAUUUGAUUAACUAUUGCCAAAUGAUGCAUAAACAUGGAUUAUCAAUUUAUCAUGAUGAUUACAUAUAGAGAAAAGCAAGCUUUGCGUGUUUGGGUCCAUUGUCAAGCAAGAACAUGAUUCUAAGAUAGUCGAUUGGAAACGAAGAUCUAUCUAUAGGUACUUGCUUGCUCUCAUGGCCAUCCAUCCAGCCACGUAGGCAUGCAUUAAUUUGGCAGCUUCAAUUGAUUUUGUAGGCUAAAUUGCUGCCAGCCUCUCCUUGAUUUUCCGAUCAUCAUCUACAUAUGGUGUACUCCUGAUAGUUUAGGUACCCACUAAGCUGUUGGUACGUUCACAAAGGCACAAAGAUAUUUUAUUAUAUGGAGCGAGUCCUG